GACGAACGCUGGCGGCGUGCUUAACACAUGCAAGUCGAACGGAAAGGCCCUGCUUUUGUGGGGUGCUCGAGUGGCGAACGGGUGAGUAACACGUGAGUAACCUGCCCUUGACUUUGGGAUAACUUCAGGAAACUGGGGCUAAUACCGGAUAGGAGCUCCUGCUGCAUGGUGGGGGUUGGAAAGUUUCGGCGGUUGGGGAUGGACUCGCGGCUUAUCAGCUUGUUGGUGGGGUAGUGGCUUACCAAGGCUUUGACGGGUAGCCGGCCUGAGAGGGUGACCGGCCCCAUUGGGACUGAGAUACGGCCCAGACUCCUACGGGAGGAAGGGGGGGGGAAUAUUGCAAAAGGGGGGGAAGCCGGAGGCAGCAACGCCGGGUGGGGGAUGACGGCCUUGGGGUUGUAAACCGCUUUCGCCUGGGACGAAGCGGGGGUGACGGUAAUGGGUAAAGAAGCACCGGUCAACUACGG
rnacentral:rRNA from 1 species